rnacentral:rRNA from 1 species
AAUCAACGCUGGCGGCGCGCCUAACACAUGCAAGUCGAACGAGAAAGUCCGCAAGGAUGAGUAAAGUGGCGUACGGGUGAGUAACACGUGGAUCAUCUGCCCUCUUGUGGGGAAUACCGCCGGGAAACUGGUGACAAUACCGCAUAAGCUCGAGAGAGGAAAGCCGAAAGGCGCAGGAGGAGGAGUCCGCGGUCGAUUAGUUAGUUGGCAGGGUAAAAGCCUACCAAGACUGUGAUCGAUAGCCGGCCUGAGAGGGCACACGGCCACACUGGCACUGAAACACGGGCCAGACUCCUACGGGAGGCAGCAGUGGGGAAUCUUGCACAAUGGGGGAAACCCUGAUGCAGCGACGCCGCGUGAGCGAUGAAGGCCUUCGGUUGUAAG